UCUCCUGUCCCCACCGCCCCUCCCUGUGGAAGCAGGAGCUGCAGCAGCCCCUCUGAACCAGCCGGGAUCCCAGCGCUGCAAGAUUAUCUGCAGCAGUGUCCAGGAGGGACUCCGGUACUGAGAGCUUCCUCACCGCAAUGCCAUGCCAGGCACCUCAUCCCAGUGAGCUGGGGCCGGGACGGACACUGGGAGAGGGAGACUGCCAGGCACAUAUCCAGCCCCCACCAGCAGGACCAGAGACCAGAGGGGCCAGUGUUGCCAGGAUGGGGAUCAGAGAGUUGAGGGGGGCAGCCCCCCACCUGCACACACACACACAGGCAGUUGCUUAGCCAAGCCUCUACACAGCCAGGGCUCUGGGCUGAAUCCCCCCAUCUGAGUGGAGCACUGGGAGUGCCAAGUGAGAGUUGUGCUGGGUGGAUUUGGGAGGAGUGGAGACACCAGAAUCGGGGGGGGGGGCAGGUGAGCCACCCCAAUGAUCAUUAGCCACGGUUCCAGACUCUGCUCCACCCUCCCCAGAAAACAGCUAAACCCACAGGGCAUCCAAAAGCCCCAGUGCCGGGGCAGCGGGUAUCAGAGCCCCAAGGGCUGUGCACCCCUGAAUUCCCUUCUACAUCCCUCUGUGUGUUCUUAUAUCCAUCCAUCUGCACCGUACCCCUCCCUCCCCACACAUCCCUCCCUCCGUCUCUCCAUCCCCAACCACACACAGCUCCCCAUAAACACCUCUCUACGUAUCCAUCCGCACCACAUCCCUCCCUCCGUCUCUCCAUCCCCAACCACACACAGCUCCCCAUAAACACCUCUCUACGUAUCCAUCCGCACCACAUCCCUCCCUCCGUCUCUCCAUCCCCAACCACACACAGCUCCCCAUAAACACCUCUCUACGUAUCCAUCCGCACCACAUCCCUCCCUCUGUCUCUCCAUCCCCAACCACACACAGCUCCCCAUAAACACCUCUCUACGUAUCCAUCCGCACCACAUCCCUCCCUCCGUCUCUCCAUCCCCAACCACACACAGCUCCCCAUAAACACCUCUCUACGUAUCCAUCCGCACCACAUCCCUCCCUCUGUCUCUCCAUCCCCAACCACACACAGCUCCCCAUAAAUACCUCUCUACGUAUCCAUCCGCACCACAUCCCUCCCUCCGUCUCUCCAUCCCCAACCACACACAGCUCCCCAUAAAUACCUCUCUACGUAUCCAUCCGUACCACAUCCCUCCCUCUGUCUCUCCAUCCCCAACCACACACAGCUCCCCAUAAACACCUCUCUACGUAUCCAUCCGCACCACAUCCCUCCCUCUGUCUCUCCAUCCCCAACCACACAAAGCUCCCCAUAAACACCUCUCUACGUAUCCAUCCGCACCACAUCCCACCCUCCAUCUCUCCAUCCCCAACCACACACAGCUCCCCAUAGACGCCUCUCUAUGUAUCUAUCCAUCCAUGAAUCCCCACACAUCCCCAUCUCAUCCAUUCCCCCCUCCCCCGCUAUUUCCAAUUUCCCUUUGUGACUAUCUGAGCAUGACGCUCACACACCCCAGGUUCCCGUGCAGGGUGCAUGCAAAGGGGCGAGUGGGGGGCGGAUUCGGGAGACACACACACCCAUGCUGGGCAAGCGCCAGAUGGGGAGUGCGGCUCUGGGGCCUGUGCAUGAAGGAUUAAUCCUGGCAUUUCACACAUAGUUCCCAUCGCAGCACACUCCACUAAUCCCCUACCCACGUCAUGGCCUCACCCGCCACAACCCCCUCUGUGCCUGCUGGGAGGUAGGCUGCUGCAUGGAGCUCCCUGCUGGGAGGGAGAACCCCUUGGCGCUGUGAACUUCCCCACAGCAGUGCCCAGCCAGGGAUUCCAGUGCUGUGAGCUUCCCCACAGCAGUGCCCAGCCAGGAUCUAGGAAUUAGCAGGGAAUUAGCACUUCUGGGUCCACAUGCCCAAUAAGGAAGUGCACUGGCUUCCAAGCCCAUCUCGCCAGGCAUCACUAUGAGCUGUGUAUCCUCCCGAUCAGCACCCCACAACCCACCCCCAGCACCCUGCUCUGCCCCCCUGCCCAGGAUGGAGCUGGCAUCAAAUAUGCUUCCCCUACAGUUGUGUAUUUGAGGAGUUUAGCUCUGGUGGUGCUGGGGGUCAGAGUCCGAGGAGGAAGGGGCAUUGAUGGCAUUUUCCAUGCCCCAUCUCCCAUCCCAGCAAUUCCAUCCUGUAGGGGUGGGGUGUGGAAAUCCAUCUAAGCCAUCCCUGCCCCCUCACUCUGCGCUGUCAGUCCACCCUGCCCAGGGGCGCCAGGUCAGAUUCCUGAGCCCCCCUCCCCAAAUGCACCUUGUGCUACAGCAGGUUUCAGCGGCAUGUGCAGGCUUCCGCUAGUGGCUGGUGUAGGGGGCACCUGGCUGCCUAGCUCAACUCCUGCUCCACUGGCCAGAAAUGGAAUGGGCCCAAUCUAGACGGGAUGGCUCCCCCUGCAAGCUCCCCAUGGCCAGCUGCUCCUGCACCCCUGCAGGGGGACUUCCCCAGCAGCCUGAACUGCCCUCUGCACAGUGCUGGACAUGGGCAUGUGGGCCGCAGCUCAGCAACUGCUCAAUCCUUCCCCAGCUACCCCUCCAUCCUCCAACCAUCCCCAGUCAUCCUUCCCCAACUACCCCUCCAUCCAUCUCCACCCCUACAUCCUUCCAACCAUCCCCAGCUACCCCUCCAUCCAUCUCCACCCCUACAUCCUUCCAACCAUCCCCAGUCAUCCAUCCUCAUCCACCCCUCCAUCCUUCCAACCAUCCCCAAUCAUCCUUCCCCAGCUACCCCUCCAUCCUUCCAACCAUCCCGUCAUCCAUCCUCACCCCGCUCCAUCCAUCUCCACCCCUCCAUCCUUUCAACCAUCCCCAAUCCUCCGUUCUCACCCUGCUCCAUCCAUCCCUCCUUCUCCACCCAUCCAUCCAUCCCGUCAUCCGUCCUCACCCACCCUUCCAACCUUCCAUCCAUCCUCACUCAUCUGUUCUCACCCACCCACCCUUCCUUUCAUCCUCCAUCCCCACCCCUCUCCCCGACUCCAUACCCACAGGCCCCUCCACCUAUCCCUCCCCACACACCCAUCUACCCCUCCACCCGUUCCGUUCCCCACUAUUACCACAGGGGCUGCUCACAGCAUCCUCCACCCUGGAUGGGAGCCUAAGUACCAUCCAUUCCCCCAGCCAGCUCCCUCCUGCCCUCCCUCCCCUGCUUCCUGCCCAUCACCCCUCUCCUGCUCCGCCUUGCUGCCCCCGUUCCCCCUCCCGGUCCCGCCGCGCUCCCUCCUCCCGCUGCCUGCCGCCUCCCCUGGGGCCGGGCUGGGCCGGGCCAUCAGUCACUCCCUAGAGCCAGCCCCGCUCCCUCUCCCCGGCCGCCCGCGGCCGCCUGGCUCACUCGGAGCCGCUCGUUCCUGCAGGCGCGCUGGCCCCGCGGGCUCCGAUGCACCUGUAGCCGCCCCCGGCAGCGGGCCCCCCUGGGGCCGGGCGGGGCCCGAUCCUUGGAUUUACCUCCCCACGGACUGCGGAGCCGGGCUCCUGCGCUCCCUUCGGGGGACUCCCAGGGCCGAGGGGUCCGUGCUCCGCAUCCCGCCAGCCCAGCGCUCGGAGCUACCAUGCGAGUGCCCCGGACUGCGGGCGCUGCCGGAGGGAGGGGGCAGCUGCCGGCCAGGCGCCCUGGGCACCAGCGCUAGGGGACCCCCACACUCCGGCUCGGCACCAUGAGAGCCCCCGGGGAGACCCUGCACCUCCUGCUGGCUACAGCGCUGCAGCUGAUCGGCUGCGCAGCUAAGGGUCUCUUGGGGGUGUACCCAGCCUGACUGCCUGCAGGCACCACAGCCCCAGACGAAGGGGACUCCCCCGCUGGGGGAAG